rfam:Felis catus isolate Cinnamon breed Abyssinian chromosome A1, whole genome shotgun sequence.
GCCUGGGUGGCUCAGUCGGUUGAGCGUCCGACUUCAGCUCAGGUCGUGAUCUCACACUCCGUGAGUUCGAGCCCCGCGUCAGGCU